rnacentral:rRNA from 1 species
GACGAACGCUGGCGGCGUGCUUAACACAUGCAAGUCGAACGGAAAGGCCCUGCUUUUGUUGGGUGCUCGAGUGGCGAACGCGUGAGUAACACGUGUGUAACCUGCCCUUGACUUUGGGAUAACUUCAGGAAACUGGGGCUAAUACCGGAUAGGAGCUCUUGCUGCAUGGUGGGGGUUGGAAAGUUUCGGCGGUUGGGGCUGGACUCGCUGGUUAUCAGCUUGUUUGUGUGGUAGUGGCUUACCAAGGCUUUGACGGGUAGCCGGCCUGAGAGGGUGACCGGGGACAAGGGGACUGAGAUACGCAGCAGACUGGUAUGGGAGGCAGCAGGGGGGAAUCUGGCACAAUGGGCGGAAGCGUGAGGCAGAAACGCCGCGUGCGGGAUGACGGGCUUCGGGUUGUAAACCGCUUUCGCCUGUGACGAGGCGUGAGUGACGGUAAUGGGUAAAGAAGCACCGGCUAACUACGUG